GACGAACGCUGGCGGCGUGCUUAACACAUGCAAGUCGAGCGGUAAGGCCCUUUCGGGGGUACACGAGCGGCGAACGGGUGAGUAACACGUGGGUGACCUGCCCUCAGCUCUGGGAUAAGCCUGGGAAACCGGGUCGUAAUACUGGAUAUGACUCCAUGACGCAUGUUGUGGGGUGGAAAGCCUUGUGCGGCUGAGGAUGGGCCCGCGGCCUAUCAGCUUGUUGGUGGGGUGAGGCCUACCAA
rnacentral:rRNA from 1 species